rnacentral:rRNA from 1 species
GUAAAACAUAGGGGNCNAGCGUUUUCNGNAUUACUGGGCGUAAAGGGNGNGUANGCNGCCUAUUAANUCAGAUGUGNAAAGGUUNGGGNUUAACCCUGAAAGUGCAUNUGAAACUAGUAGGCUUGAGUAUNGGAGAGGUAAGUGGAAUUCCUAGUGUAGCGGUGAAAUGCGUAGAUAUUAGGAGGAACACCAGUNGCGAAGGCGACUUACUGGACCAAAACUGACGCUGAGGCGCGAAAGCGUGGGGAGCAAACAGGAUUAGAUACCCUGGUAGUCCACGCUGUAAACGAUGAGUACUAGGUGUUGGGUGUUUCGAUACACUCGGUGCCGCAGUUAACGCAAUAAGUACUCCGCCUGGGGACUACGGUCGCAAGACUGAAACUCAAAGGAAUUGACGGGGGCCCGCACAAGCGGUGGAGCAUGUGGUUUAAUUCG